rnacentral:rRNA from 1 species
UACGAAGGGGGGCUAGCGUUGCUCGGAAUCACUGGGCGUAAAGGGUGCGUAGGCGGGUCUUUAAGUCAGGGGGUGAAAUCCUGGAGCUCAACUCCAGAACUGCCUUUGAUACUGAGGAUCUUGAGUUCGGGAGAGGUGAGUGGAACUGCGAGUGUAGAGGUGAAAAUUCGUAGAUAUUCGCAAGAACACCAGUGGCGAAGGCGGCUCACUGGCCCGAUACUGACGCUGAGGCACGAAAGCGUGGGGAGCAAACAGGG